GGAGGAGGCGGGUGAGGUCAGAGAGGUGGGGAGAAGGCCAUCUCAGCAAAGAGGAGAGGGAUCCACUUCAGCCAGCUGUGUAGAGAGUGGAUCUGUGGUGUCAGUCAAGAUCCAAUCAACAAAAGAGAAAUCACUCUAUGUAUUCCAGACAAGAGGAGUUUGAUACAGGGAAGGAAUUGAACUACCAAAGGGGCUGCACAGGGUGAAGCCUGAGCGCUCGAAUGGCCAACGCCACAGGGCUGAACGCACCAGAAGUCGCAGCCUCGAUGGGGUUGAUCCUGGCGGCUGUCGUGGAGGCGGCAGCACUGCUGGGCAACGGCGCACUGCUGGUUGUGGUGCUGCGCACGCCGGGACUACGCGACGCGCUCUACCUCGUGCACCUGUGCGUAGUGGACCUGCUGGCUGCCGGCUCCAUCAUGCCGCUGGGCCUGCUGGCCGCUCCGCCGCCGGGGCUGGGCCGCGUGCGCCUGGGCCCCGCGCCCUGCCGCGCGGCGCGCUUCCUCUCGGCGGCGCUGCUGCCCGCCUGUACGCUCGGCGUGGCGGCGCUCGGCCUGGCGCGCUACCGCCUCAUAGUGCACCCGCUGCGGCCUGGCGCGCGGCCUCCGCCCACCCUCGUGCUCACCGCCGUGUGGGCGGCGGCGGGGCUGCUGGGCGCGCUCUCCUUGCUCGGGCCGCCGCCCGCACCGCCCCCUGCCCCGGCUCGCUGCUCGGUCCUGGCCGGGGGCCUCGAGCCCUUCCGGCCGCUCUGGGCGCUGCUGGCCUUCGCGCUGCCCGCCCUCCUGCUGCUCGGAGCCUACGGCGGCAUCUUCCUCGUGGCGCGCCGCGCUGCCCUGCGGCCCCCGCGGCCCGCGCGCGGGUCCCGGCCGCGCUCCGACUCUCUGGACAGCCGCCUCUCCAUCUUGCCGCCCCUUCGGCCUCGCCCGCCCUGGGGCAAAGCAGCCCUGGCCCCGGCGCUGGCCGUGGGCCAGUUCGCAGCCUGCUGGCUGCCUUACGGCUGUGCGUGCCUAGCGCCCGCUGCCCAGGCCGCCGCGGCAGAGGCGGCCGUCACCUGGGUAGCCUACUCGGCCUUCGCGGCUCACCCCUUCCUGUACGGCCUGCUGCAGCGCCCUGUACGCCGGACGCUGGGCCGCCUCGCCCGACGAGCGCUACCCCGGCCCCCCCGGGCCUGCACUUCGCGGGCCUGGCACCCGCGGGCCCUCCUGCAGCACCUCCAUAGACCUCCAGAGGGCCCUGUGCUAGGCCCUUCUGAGGCACCAGAACAAGCCCGGGAUUUGGCAGGAAGGGAGAGCCUGAGCAUGCCAGAGGCCACGUGAGAGAUGUCUCCCAAGAGGGGCUGCCUGGCCCCUUGGGAUCUGCCCCUGCUUCCUUCUGCAGGGACUGCUCACCUGGCACCAUGCUGGGUGAGGCGAAGGGGACUGCAUGGCCCGAGAGCUGCUGGAGCUUGGUGACCUGUGCCAAGAAGAGAGGGCAGCACCUCCAGGAUGACAGCACAGAUCUGGCGCACACACAAGAUGAUGGCAUCAGGCACCCCAGAGACGGUGACAGCACGCUCUGUGGAGUUGGGGAGCAGGUCCCCUGCCACCUGCACCUGGGCACCUGUAGUCUGCAAGCAGAGAACGGGGGCCACUUCCAGCUACUCCCAUAACCCAGAGCAUGCCCAGGCUCGGAGCUCCCCACAGGACAGGAAGCUGUAAGCCCAGGUCUCCCCUCGAAACUGAAGGGAGCAGCGCAGAGGUCCUGGGCAGGAAGACUGGGUUGGCCGUGCAUGCCCCUGCUGCUCCCCCUCCCCUGGAGCACCUUCCUGCUGGGGGAUGAAGGAGGGAAGCCUGCCCGCGUCCCACUCCAAUGAGAGAACCCUGCCCUCAGCUUGGCCUUCCGUCCCACCCGUAGCCACUCUGUGGAGUCAGAGUCCUGUUCCUCCCGGGGAACCACCCGUGGCCCCCAGCCCCUCAGACAGCCACAGACCUCGUCCAGCUUGAAGGCAAUCAUGGAGACUGCAUGGAAGACGGCUGCUGUAGAUCCGGUGAUGGUGGUGAUGCGCUCAGGGCAGGAGCCCUCAGAGAUGGUGAUCCGGGCGCUGCUCUGUGGGUGCAGGACAAGCGCCAGGCAACGGGGCUCCUUCUCUGCUUCCUGGCCAAGAACUUGCCUGCCCCUCCACUCACCAGGCCCCAGCCAAGGCUGGAAACGGCCACCUUCUAGGGGCACUCACUGGUCAUCCCAGAUGGUGGAUUCAGGGACAAGGUGAGGCAGGCAUCUCCCCUCCCCUCCAAACCAGGUGCCCUGGGCUCCUCUCCCAAACUCCGUCCUCACCUGUUCCCGGAUUCGCUUUACAGUCUCUCCUUUCUGCAGGAGACAAAAUAGGAGGCAAAAUAGAGAAUGGCUCUUAGGCCAAGCAGCCGUUGCUUCCUUUCCUGGACUGAGGUCUCAGGUUGAAGGGGACAUACAGAACAGAACGAGACCUCCAAUCUCUGUCUCCCCACCCCGCAAAGCUCAGCGCAGGAAACUAGCUUGGCUGAGAAGACCCAGGCCUAAUAACCUGGGGAGCUGUGGAGCACCCAGAAGAAAGUGGAAAAGCUGGGAGAUCUGAGGGUCGAAGUGGUGGCCCUUCCCUUUUGUGGGCAUUUCUGAUCUGGGGGCCAGCUGCAACCUGUGGUCUGUCACUGCAAGAGAAAGAAGAGGAAAAGACAGACCCUAAAAGAACUCAGAUAGAAAGACACACCUGUUGGAUGUGCAGGAUGAGCAGGAGCCCACGGAGGGAAGGAGAGAGAAUGAGUGAGAGAGAGCCCAAGGCAGGCAAGUGGCCCACCCCCAUCAGCAGGGCUGUGCCUCAUGCUAGCUCCUGCAGGAAAUCCAGCAGCCCUGUAUGCCACUCCUCGGGUUUGUCAAGGUAACAGGGGUGCCCCGCCCCCUCCAUGACCAACAGCCGGUGGUUGGGCAGCUGCUUCAGGUGCUCAAAGCUGUUCUGACCCAUGGGGUCCUGGUCUCCAUAUACGAUAAGAACCGAGGUCUAGAGAAAGGAAAGGGAUGCAGAGUCAACAGGGACCUACCCCACCAGCCCCAGGCUCCUAGAAGUCAACUCCAGCUCUCCCCAUCACUUCGGUCUCUCCCUGGGGUCACCGCAAAUGACAGAGAGAGACAAGUUGGCCCAGUGCAGGGAUGGUUUGGAGAGGCAUGAAUUUGUGUAUGCCCCAGCACACAGUUUAGCACAGGGCUUGCCACAGUAAUCUUCUGCCAAGUACACCAAAAGGGCGGAGUUAGGUGGUUCAACUCCUCCCGGAAGCUACCCCUUUGGUUACCAGUACCCAGGGCCCCAGGAUGGACUGUUCCUUGCUCCUGGCAGGGACAUCUCAGCCUCCCACAUAGGGGUACCUUCACUCUGGCAUAGUCGGCAGCAUUGAUUUUGUCAGUGCAGAUGGGGGCCACUGGCACAUAGCCCCGGAUCUGGGAGCCUGGGGCCAUGAGGAAGGGCAGGGAGUACAUGCCACUCAACGAUGGGCUGAUCACGACUGGGGGGCCCAUAUCCAAGGCAUCCACCACAGCUGCCAGAAAGCUGCUGGGGACCAGCUCCCCAAUAGGGGCAGGGGCUGUUGCUUCCUUGGAGCGCCCCAGACCUGCAGGGAUUCAGGUGUGGGAGAGACAAAGGUGGUGAGUAGGAAAACAGGGGAGAGAGGGUCCCUUCCUCCAGGAAGCCCUCCUAGGUCAACCUCUGUGCCAGGUUCCUGCAACAGGCAGUGUUGCAUGCUGUAGUUAUUCCUACAGCAACCUAGGUCUGUCAUAUCUGUGGCAAGCAUAAGGCAUUUCCAUCCAUGUUUGUGCCCAUCUCCCCCAGUACAGCGUCCUCAAAGAAUCAGGCUCUGAAGCCCAGCUUGGCCAGAUCCAAGUCCCAGUUGUCCACUAUAGAUUAUAUAAGCUUGGGAAAGUCCCCUCAGCCCUCUCUCUACUGUUCAGUUUCCCCAUCUGUUAAAAGGAGGUAACAAAAGUGUUUGCCAUUUGAGAUUGUUGUGAAAAUUGAGUUAACUGCUUCAAGGCACCUGUCCCAGGGCUGGCAGGGUAGAUGCCUCCAGGACAGUGGAUGAGGGGCUGGCUCUGCACACAUCCCUCCCCUCCAAUUAGUCAGUCCCUACCUUCUGCAGAAGGAUUAGUUCAAGGCCUUGGCCCUGAAGCUCAGCCCAAUCCACUGUCAGAACCAAUCCUGUCCCGGCCUGGAGGCCCGCCCUUGGGCACUGAAACCAUACCAGCCAUGGCCAGUGAGGGGAGCAGGUUGGCCAUGCUGCCACCUUCACACUUGGCACCAUGGGCUGGGGCCCGCCAGUUGAGGUUAUGACUGGCAGUCUUGUGCUGCUCCUCCCUCCCUCAGGACCUAAAUUAGGGCUUUGUACGUGGGAUCAUGACUGGGGGCUUAGCCACCCCCAAAGGUGCCAGGGGACUCAGUGUCACUCCUCAGGGCUUCCAACAGAGCCUGUGGUUUCGGCUCUUUCAAAGUAUUUUACUUCCAAUCGACUGAGCACCGAUUAUUAUGUGUUAGGUACUGGCCACAUACUCACAUGGAUAAUCUCAUUCCAUUCUCAUUAGAGCCAACCCCAGAAUGAGUGUGGUUAUCUCCCAUUAUAGAUGAGGAAACAGAGGCAGAGACACUGAGACACUGCCCCGGGCAACACAGAAGCAGCUGGGCAGUGUCCAGACCACAUCCGGAUGGACUAGAAAAGCUCGAAGGCCCUUGUAGUGUACACUGCGCCCUGUCUAGCUCAGGAGUCAGCCUGGCUAGGUCCUCCCAGUCCCCCAGCCCCCAGCCCUGGGUCCCCAGUGAGGCUCCCACAACCCCUGUCCAGAAGCCUUCCCUGGAGUUACCUGGCAGGUCAAUGGCCACAGCCCGGUAGCCAGCCUGGGCCAGCCUGUGCAGCGUGCCCAGGUUCUGCCAGGUCUCGGAGGAGAAGCGUAUGCCAUGCAACAGCAGCACGGAGAAGCGGGUGGCCUGCCCACUGCCCGGGUGAGCCUCUCGGAAGAAGAGGCUCUGGCCCUGCACCUGGAUGGUGCCCUCGUGCUGCUCCACGCCCGCCAUACCUCCUGCUGUGCUGGUGAAGCACCUGUGGUUCAAGGCCAGGCUGAUGAGAAGCCACAGAACACCCUGCCCAGGUGGAGCAGGGAGGCUGCCAUAGACAGGGCAGGGGUCCCUCCUGGAGCAUCAAAACUCUAGGAACAUGCUUUGGGGUGAGGAAGACAUAGGUGUUAUUUCUGCCUCUGCCACUACCUAAUUGCCUUGGUUUCCUCAUCUGAAAUAUGGGACAUUAAAGCCUACCUCAAGAAUUUAUGAGUUAAAAAAAAAAAGAAAAAGAAUUGAUAAUUGAUGGUGCCUGCCUUUGGAAAGAACUUAAUACAUGGGUCUCCCAUUACAAUUAUUGUUCCCAUUGUUAUUAUCCUUUUCUACAAAUGGGGAUAAUACAAUAGUACUAGCUCCUAGGUGGUUGAUAGGAUUAAACGAGGCCAGGCAUGUAAAACACUCGCCAGUGCCUAGCACAUAGUAAGCAUGGUAAAUGUAUCAACAGUAAGUAGCUGACUAUUUUGCUUUUCAACAUUUUCCU